rnacentral:rRNA from 1 species
UACGUAGGGGGCAAGCGUUGUCCGGAUUCAUUGGGCGUAAAGGGCGUGUAGGCGGCCAGGUAGGUCGGUUGUGAAAACUGGAGGCUCAACCUUCAGACGUCGACCGAAACCAUCUGGCUAGAGUCCGGGAGAGGAGAGUGGAAUUCCUGGUGUAGCGGUGAAAUGCGCAGAUAUCAGGAAGAACACCCGUGGCGAAAGCGGCUCUCUGGAACGGUACUGACGCUGAGACGCGAAAGCGUGGGGAGCGAACAGG